rnacentral:lncRNA from 1 species
AAUCAGCCCCUUCGCGAUCGCCGCCGCCACUACCGAAGCCGAGGGCCCCACGUCAGAGCACUGGGACCCACCGUUCACCAUGCUCCCGUUACCCCCAGCAUCCUCGUGUUCCCUCGAUCUGACAUUCUGUUUCUUGGCGGGGACUAUAGAGGAGCUAACGAGCGAUCCUCCGCCACCUCCACCGCCGAUUCCGAUCGAACUCCC